rnacentral:rRNA from 1 species
GUUUUAUUCUUGCUGUUUUGUUCAGUGAUUUCUUGUUUUAUAUGUAAGUUCUUGCGUGAUUACUUCUGCUUGUCUUGAUGAUUUGUAGGUUGGUUUACAAGGUUGCUUUAAGUCGCAUUAUUUAUUUUUAUAUAUCUUGGUUUCUUGGAUUUAGCAAUGAGUUUUUGUACCGGUUAAGUUUGUGCCAGCAACCGCGGUUAUACAUUAGGUGCUAUUGAAUAUUUUUGGUAUAUGUAGUUUUAUUAUUGGUUAGGUUGGGCUUGAAAUUGAUUACCGUUGCUGGGUGGAAUUUUUACUUUGGUUAUAGGCUCUUUAUUUUUUUUGUAAGCUGUGAGAUCUUUUCUAUAAACUAGGAUUAGAUACCCUAUUAUUUUUGAUGUUAAUUUUGUUUUCCUGGGUAGUAUUAGAUAUGAUCUUGAAACCUAAAGAAUUUGGCGGUACCCUAUUCCUUUCAGAGGAGUCUGCCCCGUGAUCGAUGAUCCGCGCUGGACCUUACUUAGAAUUUGUUUGUAUACCGCCGUUGUAAUGAAGAUCUUUUUAGUGUUUUAAUUUUCUGGUUCCGUUAAUUUGGUUGAUUUCAGGUCAAGGUGCAAUUUAUUUUUGAGUGUGAGGUGGACUACAUUGAUUAUUUGAUCUUUGGAUUACUAAUUGUAAUUUUAUUAGUAUGAAAUUGGAUUUGGUUGUAAUUUAUUGUAGAUUGUUUUUAUGAUGCUGGUUCUGGGGUAUGUACACAUCGCCCGUCGCUCUCAUUUUCUAGUUGAGAUAAGUCGUAACAUAGUGGUCGUACCGGAAGGUGUGGCUGGAUUGA